AAAUACUACCUAGUGACCGAUAGCGUAUAGUACCGUGAGGGAAAGGUGAAAAGAACCCCGGGAGGGGAGUGAAAUAGAACCUGAACCCCUGCACUUACAAGCUGUGGAAGCACAUUUCUUGUGUGACCGCGUACUUUUUGUAGAACGGGCCAACGAGUUACGUUAAGUAGCAAGGUUAAGCACUUAAGGUGCGGAGCCGUAGCGAAAGCGAGUUUUAACUGAGCGUUCAGUUACUUGACGUAGACCCGAAACCGGGCGACCUACCCAUGAGCAGGAUGAAGCGAAAG
rnacentral:rRNA from 1 species